ensembl:lincRNA E230001N04Rik RIKEN cDNA E230001N04 gene
CUCCCGGGCGCUGCCCGCUCCCGCGCUUUGUACUGCUUCUUCUGGUCCCCACGCCUUCGCGGGUCAUGAGCUUGCCAGAGGGGCCCCUCAGCUCGAGUUCCCCGGCAGGGGUAAGCGCGGGGAGUAUGGGAUCCGCUGUGAGGAACGGGCGCCCCCCUCACCCCCCAAGCUUUUUCCGCUGCACACUGAUGGCGAGCUGUCCCCUGCGCAGCGCUAGGAUCGGCACCUUCUCUGAGCCAGUCCUGCUGCCAGUACUUUCAGGACUAACACUGAAAAGCUGGUUGUGGAAUUCGAAGCCCUCACACUCCUGGGAUUAGAACCGGAAUCGGUCGGGCCGCAGGGGGCUUUUCACUGGGAAUAGCGAAGACUCAAAUCCCUUAGCUGAUAAGGCUCGGGAGAGAGGCCUCUCGGAAGUCAUGAUAGGCGCUUGCCGACACAGUUCGAUCCCCAGGUCGCACAAGGUGAAAGGCGAGAGCCACCGAUUUACAUAAAUUGCCCUCUGACCUCCAUACAUGUGCCUUGGACACCCAUGCUUGGGGAAGCCAGGUAUGGUGGCUUUGAACCCAGCACUCAAGAGGCGGACGCAAGAAGAUCUCUAGUUGAGGCCGAGCUCUUGGACUACUACAUAGACUGGGGGAAAAAAAAGUUAAAAAAAAAUAUGGGGGUGGAGGGAGCUAGCUAUCUAGGCAAUGCUCUUUACUUGAUCCAAUCAGAAAAGAGCCUCACCAGCAGAUACAAUGGCGCUAUUAAUGUCAGCUUUUCAAAAUACAGGCUUAGCACCAAACUGCUAUGUAAUGAUGACCUUGAACUUCUGACCACCCAUACCUCUACCUCCGGAGAGUGCGGGCAGGGCAUGGGGGGCGAGGUUACAGAAGUGCAGCACAGCCGGGUGUAUAGCAGACCCUCAACACCACCUGGAGCCCUAAGGACGCUGAAACACCCGUGGCCCACGCUUGUUUGAGGAGAAUGACGAAGUGGCUUUGGAGUUCCACGGGUGGAUGAUGGGCCUUAGGGGCAGCAGCUCAGCGAAGUGGGCUCAGGGUAUGUACCCUGGUUUGUCGCUAGUGGAGGCAUUGAAGAGGUCUAGGCUUGCCUCCUGCGCUUGAACCUCGUGGAUCCUCAUCAUGACCGGUCAGUAUGUGUCAUGCUGCUUAAUGCGCAGGUUCAGCCUCCACAGGCAUCUCCACGCGGCGGAUCUCCAUCCAGGUCCCUUUCCACGGUGGACAAUGUCAGCUAAACUGACCUGCAAGGAAGCCCUGGAUGAUACCAACCCCAGAAGUUGAAAAGCUACCACGGGGUGGGUGCUAGGGCGGGCUGUGACUUUGUUGGUAGGGCCCUUCAGUGCAUGUGGCCAGCCCUGAGUUCAGUCUCCAGCGCCAAAUAAAGCAGACACAACGCACUCCGGAAGAUGGUGGACAUGGUGCUGGGAAUUCAGGGUCAUCAUCAACUCUGUAAGCAGAGUGUGAGGCCAGCCUAAGCCACCGCUCUCAAAAGCUGACAGGGUGUACCUGCUGGGUUUGUGUGACAACUUGACACCAGCUGGAGUUAUUACAGAGAAAGGAGCUUCCCUUGAUGAAAUGCCUCCAUGAGAUCCAGCUGUAGGGCAUUUUCUCAAUCAAGAGUAGGAGGGCCCAGCCCAUUGUGGGUGGUGCCAUCCCUGGGCUGGUAGUCCUGGGUUCAAAAGCAAGCUGAACAAUCGAGGGGAAGCAAGCCAGUAAAUAGCACCCCUCCAUGGCCUCUGCAUCAGCUCCUGCCCCUAGGUAAGUUCCUGUCCUGACUUCCUUUGGUGAUGAACAGUAAUGAGGAAGUAUAAGCUGAAUAAACCCUUUCCUCCCCAACUUCUUAGUCAUGAUGUUUUGUGCAGGAAUAGAAACCCCGACAAGACAGGGAGCUAGAGAGUUGAUUCCAUCACUUAAGAACAUGUGUUGGGGCUGGAAAGAUGGCUCAGCGGUUAACACUGCUCUUCCAAAGGUCCUGAGUUCAAUAUCCAGGAGCCACAUGGUGUGGCUCACAACCAUCUGUAGAGGGAUCUGAUGCCCUCUUCUGGUGUGUCUGGAGACAGCUACAGUGUACUCACAUACAUACAAUAAAUG